rnacentral:rRNA from 1 species
CUGUAUAUUAGUGAUUACAUGUUACUACCGCCGUGUCUUGUAUUCGAUCAGGYSAACGACGCUGGCGGCGUGCCUAACACAUGCAAGGUCGAACGGUAACAGGUCCUUCGGGAUGCUGACGAGUGGCGCACGGGUGAGUAAACGCGUGGAUAUCUGCCUAUUAGUGGGGGACAAACUUUCGGAAACCGGAAGCUAAUACCCCSCUUWUAWUCUUYUASGGRGGARAGCAGGGGACCUUUCGGGGCCUUGUGCUGAUAGAUGAGUCCGCGUCUGAUUAGCUAGUUGGUAGGGUAAAGGCCUACCAAGGCGAUGAUCAGUAUCUGGUUUGAGAGGAUGAUCAGACACACUGGAACUGAGACACGGUCCAGACUUCUACGGAAGGCRGCAGUGGGGAAUAUUGCACAAUGGGGGAAACCCUGAUGCAGCGACGCCGCGUGUGGGAAGAAGGCUUUAGGGUUGUAAACCACUUUCAAUUGGGAAGAAGAGAUGAGUACUAAUAUUAUUCUGAUUUGACGGUACCUUUAGAAGAAGCACCGGCUAAUUUCGUGCCAGCAGCCGCGGUAAUACSAAAGGUGCAAGCGUUGUUCGGAUUUACUGGGCGUAAAGCGAGUGUAGGUUGUUUAUUAAGUCGGAUGUGAAAUCCCAGGGCUCAACCCKGGAACUGCAUUCGAUACUGAUAGGCUAGAGUUCGGGAGGGGUAAGCGGAAUUCYGUGUGUAGCAKUGAAAUGCGUAKAUAUACKGAGGAACACCUGARGCGAMGCGCAUUUUGGSUUWCUGGMCSGAURSUGACMCUGARACUCRAARGCGUGGGUAGCAAACAGGAUUAGAUACCCUGGUAGUCCACGCCCUAAACGAUGUCAACUAGCCSWUGCGGGUAUCGACCCCUGCAGUGGCGAAGCUAACGCGAUAAGUUGACCCGCCUGGGGGAGUACAGUCGCACGAYMAACUCAAUGAUAG